rnacentral:lncRNA from 1 species
CACACGGUGGCCGCUGUACAUACCACACGUGCAUGCCCCUGACCCUCUUCCCCUCAGCGGCUCAGCCUCAGGCAGGAGGAUCCCGAUUCCCAUGGGGAACGAUCCUUCUUCUUUUUCUUUCUCAUUAGUUUGACUCUCUUUUUUUUUUUUUUUGCCCCCUUGCUCCGUUUCCUUGUGUCGACGGUCGAUUGACCAUGUGCAUGAGAUGCGAGGAGGCAUAGUUGUAUUUUGAGAGAUCAGAGAUGAACAAGGCUAUUCUAGGGUCAGCAAGAACAUGUUCUGAUUCUACGUACGUCAGGUGUGUUCUGAUUGUCUUUGCAACUAACCCAUCGACGAUCCAGACCUCCUGUUAAAACUGAUCAGGACAACAAGGCACAAUUAGAUGAAUCUGACGAUGACAUUGAUUUGAAAACUCUAAGUCAUUUGUGUGGUGACUUAACAGAGGAAAUCAUGUAUAGUCAAGUGGAAGAAAAUAUUUUGGUACACAAUCCUCAAAGGAGCAAUAAUUUUAAUUUAUUUUAAAAACAAGAAAAGCCAAACGUACCUGACCAGAAACAAAAACAUAAUUCUUGAUGAGAGGAAUGUUUUGGAACAGCAAAGGUCUACAUGACUUGGCUAAAUCUACUUUUUUGUGUGAUACUUCGUUAGAAUAUGAUAUUGACGAGAAUUUUGUAAACAUGACACCGUCUACAAC